rnacentral:rRNA from 1 species
CCUACGGGUGGCUGCAGUGGGGAAUAUUGCACAAUGGGCGCAAGCCUGAUGCAGCCAUGCCGCGUGUGUGAAGAAGGCCUUCGGGUUGUAAAGCACUUUCAGCGGGGAGGAAGGCGGUGAGGUUAAUAACCUCAUCGAUUGACGUUACCCGCAGAAGAAGCACCGGCUAACUCCGUGCCAGCAGCCGCGGUAAUACGGAGGGUGCAAGCGUUAAUCGGAAUUACUGGGCGUAAAGCGCACGCAGGCGGUCUGUCAAGUCGGAUGUGAAAUCCCCGGGCUUAACCUGGGAACUGCAUUCGAAACUGGCAGGCUAGAGUCUUGUAGAGGGGGGUAGAAUUCCAGGUGUAGCGGUGAAAUGCGUAGAGACCUGGAGGAAUACCGGUGGCGAAGGCGGCCCCCUGGACAAAGACUGACGCUCAGGUGCGAAAGCGUGGGGAGCAAACAGGAUUAGAUACCCCAGUAGUC